rnacentral:lncRNA from 1 species
AUGUCCAGAUGGGGCGGGAAGUGGAAGAGGGUUGCUGAGCCCACGUCUGUGGCACGAAUGUGCUGUAACUCUGCUCUUACUCUCGGACUUGGUCCAAAGUCACCCAUGUUUACUCUUUCUUUUGACAGAGAACUCCCUCCGGGGCAAGACUUGGUCUCAGCUUGUGGCAGUGCGAGCAGAUGUGGACAAGUGGGAAACACUUGGGCAGUGGCCUGGAGUAAGAGGAACCCAGGUGACCUCUUAGACUGUUGCAUGAUUGAUUGUCGUGAUGGCCCAUCCCCCACGCCUCCGCUGCUGUCCCCCACCAUUGCCACCAUGGGAGUGGCAGGCCUGCUGGGACUGGACAGCUCAUGAUCAGAUAGUGCCCUUUUUUGUCACACCGUGUGUAAUAGAACAAGAUUUGAUUGCCAGGGUGGAAAUUACUGCAUCUAAAAGCAAUGCUGAGCUUCUUAGCGUUGCCCCACAGUGUCCCUGAGAAGGAGAAAGAAGGUCAAGUCAUGACCCACCCAACUGGCUUGGACAAUGAGGCUGGAUGCUCUCCGGCAGUGUUUCUUACGUUUUGUAAAACUCAGGUUCGGUCUUGAGAAAUAGAAGUAUUUGAACUCCUACACUGUCAUCUCAUAUUCCAAAAUCGAUAUUUUCACCAGGGGUAAAGCAGACAGAUGUUAAUGUAAAUAAAUUUUUCGUGAGUCCUUUACUAGAGGGUGUG